GCAGAAAUAAGGGUGCCAAAGGGGUGCUAAGUCUGCUGUAAAAAGUGAUAUUGACAAAUAUCACUUUUCACAUCGCCACCCUUACUUCUGUGCUACUGCU